rnacentral:rRNA from 1 species
AGCGAACGCUGGCGGCAGGCUUAACACAUGCAAGUCGAGCGGGCAUCUUCGGAUGUCAGCGGCAGACGGGUGCGUAACACGUGGGAACGUACCCUUCGGUUCGGAACAACUCUGGGAAACUGGAGCUAAUACCGGAUACGCCCUUAUGGGGAAAGGUUUACUGCCGAAGGAUCGGCCCGCGUCUGAUUAGCUAGUUGGUGGGGUAACGGCCUACCAAGGCGACGAUCAGUAGCUGGUCUGAGAGGAUGAUCAGCCACACUGGGACUGAGACACGGCCCAGACUCCUACGGGAGGCAGCAGUGGGGAAUAUUGGACAAUGGGCGCAAGCCUGAUCCAGCCAUGCCGCGUGAGUGAUGAAGGCCUUAGGGUUGUAAAGCUCUUUUGUCCGGGACGAUAAUGACGGUACCGGAAGAAUAAGCCCCGGCUAACUUCGU